CCCUGAGGGCCCGGCCGCCGCCGGCCGCCGCCCUGAGGGCCCGGGCCCGCAGCGUCCCAGGGCGGCCCCGCCGCCUUCCUGCGGGGCAUGGCUGCGGGGCCGCGUCAGCCGCCGCACCGACAGCGACACACACACAGACACCCACACACACCCACACACACCGGGACACGCGGGCGAGAGGUGCAGCAUAAAGAAAGCGGCGGCGCGGGGCCUUUGCACUAUUUUUGGUGGCGGUUCCUGUUGCAGGAAAAAAAAAAAAAAAAGGUUUUUCCCACUCUGAAAAGAAAUGCACACAUGAAAAAGUGGAUUUUUCCAGGAAAUAAAUGGAAAUAUUCCCUCUAUUCCAACUUUUCCAGCCCAAAACUGAAUGCACACAUGAAAAAGUGCAUUUUUCCAGGAAAUAAAUGGAAUUAUUCCCUUUA